GUCUCCGUUGGUGAACCAGCGGAAGGAUCAUUACAGUAUUCUUUUGCCAGCGCUUAACUGCGCGGCGAAAAACCUUACACACAGUGUCUUUUUGAUACAGAACUCUUGCUUUGGUUUGGCCUAGAGAUAGGUUGGGCCAGAGGUUUAACAAAACACAAUUUAAUUAUUUUUACAGUUAGUCAAAUUUUGAAUUAAUCUUCAAAACUUUCAACAACGGAUCUCUUGGUUCUCGCAUCGAUGAAGAACGCAGCGAAAUGCGAUAAGUAAUAUGAAUUGCAGAUUUUCGUGAAUCAUCGAAUCUUUGAACGCACAUUGCGCCCUCUGGUAUUCCAGAGGGCAUGCCUGUUUGAGCGUCAUUUCUCUCUCAAACCCCCGGGUUUGGUAUUGAGUGAUACUCUUAGUCGGACUAGGCGUUUGCUUGAAAAGUAUUGGCAUGGGUAGUACUAGAUAGUGCUGUCGACCUCUCAAUGUAUUAGGUUUAUCCAACUCGUUGAAUGGUGUGGCGGGAUAUUUCCGGUAUUGUUGGCCCGGCCUUACAACAACCAAACAAGUUUGACCUCAAAUCAGGUAGGAAUACCCGCUGAACUUAAGCAUAU
rnacentral:rRNA from 1 species